CUCUUCUCCGUGCGACUGCAAGAAGGGAUGUAUGGUGAGAUACCUCACUCCAGUUAUCAGAGAACCAGGGCUAUGAAAACGAAGAACCCAAUGCCUACUUGAAGAAUGCCCUCUCUCCUGUCCAGUCCUGAUUGUGAGUUCGUCCAACUGCCUCCUGGCUGUAGGAGAUGUGCUGAUAACUACAUUCCCAUAAGACAAGGUGAAUAAUCAAACACUUCACGAGAAGAUUCUUCAAGUGAAGGUAAUGCAUGCAUGGAUAUUAACGAUAACUUCAGCCACUUUGGAUAAUACCUGGAGAGGAAGUUCACACCUAAAGGAGUGGUGAUGUGAGCCAAGAUCUCGGAGUAUCUCCUGGGAAAUCAAGAGUCAUCAAACAGGCAACUGACACCUAGUGGUGUGGAUGCAGCACCAUUAAAACUCAACAGUUCUGUUGUUGGACUUUUUCACUCAUUAAUUAAAUUAAUCAUGGCUGAUAGUGAUUAGUGAAUUUCUACAAUGGCAUCAGUAAUGAUUAAUGUAAUUAAUGAGUGAAAAAGUCCAAUAACAGGGCAGUUACUGAAAUGUGUGGUCGCUCAAGGAGAAACCAUCAUCUGCACCAACACUGUGGACAAGGCCACUGAUGUGAGGGACGCCAUGUCUAAAGCUCUCUACAGACGCCUCUUCAGCUGGAUAGUGAAGCGCAUCAAUGCCCUGCUGCAGCCUCACAGCAACAUCUGAGUCAACAAAUGUGUCAGUGAAGAGCAUGCUUGAGAUAAAACAUGAGACAAGUGAUGUUUGAAGGAAACAGAAAAUUCAAGUGUAGCUGAGAGUGGGAUGAACAUGGGGAUUUUGGACAUCUUUGGUUUUGAGAACUUCAAGAAGAACUCAUUUGAGCAGCUGUGUAUCAACACUGCUAACAAACAGAUUCAGUUCUACUUCAACCAACACAUCUUCACACGGGAACAGACUCUGUGUAAGUACCUUAAACUGGCUUUAAAAAGACAGAAUGCAGAGAUCUGAAGAGAGCGGUUUACUACUGGUGGCAGACCACCAAUAAAAGACAAGACUGAUGAAUCGAAUGACCUGCUGUCUGGAACACCAGCAACUUAUGGAUGUUAUACAAGACGAUGACCAUUUGGACAGUUCAGAUGAAGGAAGAAAAGGAAAGGAAUCUGAACCAGUUGGAAGAGCCAGUGCACAGUGAGUGUGUACCCUCCACGUCUGCUAUAGCAUCUCUGAGAAUAGAUGCUGUCACCACCUUUCAGCAAAGAAAAACAAGAUGACCGUGCAUGAAAAGUUUUCCAGAGAAUUGCAUGAGCAUAAACUGAAAUAUCUGAAUGAAAAUUAGAAUUCUACAGGUUGAAUUGAAUAUGAGGUUGGAAGAGAGAGGGAUGAUCCAAAAAAGAUACAGUAAGGAGACAGUUGUUAUUACCAGCCAUGGUGAACAAUACGAUAAAAUAUAUGUUUUGUAAUUUGAAUAUUCAUGAGUGAGAAUAUUUUAAUCACCACAAACUGAAUUUUAAACAAGCCUUGGUUUAGUCACCAUUUUAAAUUUGCUGUACACUAUUUGAAUUUUGUACAGAACAAACAUUAAUGCAUCUCAUCUAGUUGAAAUGCUGCAAUGUGAAAGCAACUCUGUGUGCAAGUCCUCAUUGGUAAUUGCCUGCCUCAGCCAUGGGCACAACUGCUUGAUCUUGAUCCUCCAUUGGAGGGUAGUUGUGCAUCACAGCUGUAGCAAUGAUCACCUUGCAGCAUCUUCUUCUGUUGCAAAGAAAUGUAUUGCAUAAACACUGGAAUCGAUUUUUCCAUACUCCAAACAUAUGCUCGACCAUCCCUCUCAUAUGGAUAUGAGCACUGUUGUAUCUUUGCUGCUCAGCUUUUGUGGGAUUUAUGUAUGGAGUGAAUAAAAUUUACUCUGACCAUAUUUACUGUCACCAAGUAAUAGUCCACCAUGUUGUCCUCUCUGAAACGGAGCACACAAUGAAGAGUUGAGAAAGUCUUGAAUCGUGAGUUGCACCUUUCCAAUAGGUAACAAUGUUGGAAAAAUUUCUAAAUUAGGAGUGCAUACACCCUGAACAUUGAUAUAAAACCAGUUCUUAUAUUUCUUGUAUUCCUCAGUAUCAGGAGUUGAUGGACACUUGAUGGGAAUCACUCCUGGGAAGUGCCCAUAUUCAGAGAAUUGCACUUUAUAGUUGGCUUGGCCAGCAGCAUCAGGAAACUUGAUGUAAAGACACCUCAGUUCACAAAUGGCCCUGCAGACUUUGUGAACUAUUCUACACACAGUUGCUUCACUGGCACUACACAAAUCACCAGUUUCACAAUGAAAGAUUCCAGAUGGCAAAAAAACCUAAAAGUGAUCAAUGCUUGGAGACAAUUGGGGAAAGGCCUUCCUCUUUGGGAAAGAGAGGAACGUCUAGGAUCAAGCAAAGAUAUUAUCUCCAAUUCAUUUUCUUUGUACAUAGGAAAACUAGCGAAAAAGCUAGUUCAAAGUAAUAUAAUAUUUUACUUAUAUCCUAGAGAAAUGGUAUUUCACCCCCUCUGUAUACUUGUAUAUGGCUGGUGUGACAAUAAAACUCUCUUGAAUCCA